rnacentral:lncRNA from 1 species
CAAAUGCUCUCACUGAGGCUGGGUUGCUGCUCAUCAUUUCGGGUCCUUGUCCCUGCAGGAGCUUGGAACCAGCAAAGAAUAAACAUCUUAAGAAGACUGCACAGCUCAGCUUGGAACUGCUGGAGAAAGGCAGCCUUUAAGCCUGUGUGUUUUCUUCUUGACGUUCGGUUUUGUGGCAACAAGACUUCCAUCUGCAGGCAAGUGGGGCCAUGGGAUCUGCUAACAUGCAGAAGGAAGAUAGCAGCUCUUUGUGAACUCUCGGGCCUGCUGCACAAUAAGCCAGAACAACACAGAGACAAGAUGCUUUGGAACGUCUGGGAGUCUCUGCUGUCUUAUUACAUACAAGGACCCUGGCAUUUCCUGCUAAUUCAAAGGAAGAGAAGAAAAUUAGUGCCUGUUCUUCAUCAUGUCUGUAUGCUUUUCUGUUCUGUAGCCUCAAAUGCCUGCGAGGCCUGUGAGCUUGAACCUUAGCAUAGACUAAGUAGUAGUUUCCCUUACUCUACUCAUGGUUGUUUUUUUUCUUUUACAUUUAUUUAGUUAUUCAUUGCAGGGGGGGCUGGGGGGGGUGCUGGGGGAGGGGAGGCGGUGCUGCACAUUUGCCAUAGCAUGCUUGUGAAGGUCAGAGGACAACUUUGCUUUGGUUCUCUCCUUCGCAUCAUAUGGGUCCAAGGAAUCAAACUUAAGUCACCAGGCUUAGAGGCAAGAUCCUUUUCCUGCUGAGCCGUCUUGCCAUAUUCUUGAAGUUCCGCCAUUUGAAAAACUGACAUAGGAUUCUCCAAGUUAGACCAACUGUUUUUUGUUUGUUUGUUUGUUUGUUUGUUGUUGUUUUGUUUUUUGUUUUUUUUAAAGGUGAAACUGGAGCCAAAAAUGGAUUUUUUUUGGAUCACACAUCUCCUGUCUCCUGCUGCCGGUGAUGAAGCUGCCAGCCCCACGCCAGUGGGCGGAAAUAGAUACCAGCCCUGGAGGAAGUACUGACUGCUUAUGGGCGCCUGCCACCCUCCCUGCUUCCUCCUCUUCGUGUGGAAGGAAACCGUGGGCUUUCCUGGGCAUUUUUUCUUAUUCUCUUAAUACAGGGGAACUGAAGCAUUUGGCUUUGGUUGUUUGGAUAGUGAAUCUCAGCUUGGAGGGCUUUCCAGAAAGCAGGCGGCUCCGGUCUCUGAACUCUAACUCCGUUUCUCCACCCCCCUUCCGGUGCUGUGCAGUUCUUUCCAAUUCCUGAAUUGACAUGUACAGUACUAGAAAACCUGCAGAGAGCGCCUGGAGGUCACAGCCUGCAUGAGCUUUCAAGCUGGAGAGGGCUAAGUGGAAGGAAGACACUGCACCCCUGGGAUUUCCUCCUGCAAAUGAGAUGAAAUCUAUAUAAAUGUACUCUUUCCCGUCUCAUACCUUUUAUUCGAUUUGCAUACCACGGAUCCGAUGACAACUCUCUUGAAAAGUGCUCCUUUGACUGUUUCAGCCACAGCGGUUCAUGCAAAGAAACUAAAUCUUGGAAAGGAAGGGGCUAACCCCUCCCCAUGCUUGUGCUCAGGAACCACAUGAUGACCAUGACAGACCAUGACCAGGACAUCGGUGGGUGCAAAAAGAAGAAACAAGAGCAC